CUUUCAUAUUCAUUUUCCUGGAAGUCAAGAACUUGGGGCAUAUGCUCGUGCUGGCAGGAGAACUUGGCCUCAGGGUCUGUUUUGGAGGAGCAAGAGGAAACAUGCAGUCAGUUGUGCCCUGGAGCACGAGCUGCUAAGGAGACCGGUGAGAAGCUAUCGGACCCUAGCUCGGAGGAAAACAGUCGUCGGGUACGACUGGAGCCGGACAGAGCCAGUGUGCGCGAGCGCAGCGCGUGCGCUGUACGAGUUCACGUUUCCGACACCGGCGCGCAGCUAGGGACACACCGCACUGUGUUGCAAUUAAUUUUGGAGAGCAUACCAAUAGAAAGCUUCAAAUUUGAAUGCCAACCGAAUAUCGUAUGCACAAGAAUAGUGGAUGAAGUUAGCCCUGAUGGAAAAGU